CUGGUGGGUUCAGCUCCGCUAGUAGCAGCUAUACUUUCAAUGAACUGCUCCACUGAGAAGACAGACCGAUGCGCUCACUGCCCCUUCUUUUAUACGCCCAUCCAAUGGGCAUGCUCAAACUUACAGGCUUCAAGGUGGGUGGAGUAGCUAAAGAUACAUCUGGAUUGUGCAAUUAAUGGCUUUUUAAAAGCAGAACAUGUUGGCUAAGAUGAAAUACCUCUGAAGAGCUCUGGAAUUUCAGAUGCCGAAAUGCUGUUCCUGCAAAACUCUGAUGGCUCCCGGGGAUUUCUGGAAAAACACAUUGCUUAGGAUCCAUACUGCUCAUGUUUUCUUUCCCAGACCUCCAUUCUUUCUUAUCUCUUACAUGUACUCUACUCAAGCUCUCCCUUCCUCAUUUUUUGUUGGUGUAUCUACGAUAAUAAGGCAAGAAAGCUUUCCAGCAGAUGACGACACUAUCAGCUUUUCCAGAGAUCUUUCUGCAUUAAGGAGAGCUGGCUUGGUAACAUGAGGUUGAUGAAGAAGUACUAACGGACCACCAUCUGAUCAUGCAAUACAGCAACUAUAAAAGCC